GACGACCGCUGGCGGCGUGCCUAAUACAUGCACGUCGAACGCAGUGGGGACGGGUGAGUAACACGUGGGUAACCUUCCCAUCAGAGGGGAUAACACUUGGAAAAAGGUGCUAAACCGAUAUUGGUGGCUGGACGCGCGGUGCAUUGGCUAGUUGGUGAGGUAACGGCGCACCAAGGCCACGAUGCAUAGCCGACCUGAGAGUGUGAUCGGCCACACUGGUACUGAGACACGGCCCAGACGCCUACGGGAGGCAGCAGUAGGGAAUCUUCGGCAAUGGACGAAAGUCUGACCGAGCAACGCCGCGUGAGUGAAGGAGGUUUUCGGAUCGUAAAACUCUGUUGUGAGAGAAGCGGUAUCUAACCAGAAAGCCACGGCUAACUACGUGCCAGCAGCCGCGGUAAUAC
rnacentral:rRNA from 1 species